rnacentral:ncRNA from 1 species
UUUUUCCGGGUCUGUGGUUGAAAGUCGAUGCCAGCCGCAGGCGAAACGACCCACGUAAACCGGCAAAAAUACCGGUGAGCAUGGUGCGGUUUAGAGGUAAGUCCUGCCCGGGGUUAAACCGGAGACGGGGAGUAGUGAAGGCUUAAACCGUAGCGAGACCCGCAGCAGGCGAGUGUGGGGGAAAAGACCAGGUCAGCCGGAUAAC